rnacentral:rRNA from 1 species
CCUACGGGAGGCAGCAGUGAGGAAUAUUGGUCAAUGGGCGUGAGCCUGAACCAGCCAAGUAGCGUGAAGGAUGACUGCCCUACGGGUUGUAAACUUCUUUUAUGAAGGAAUAAAGUGAGGCACGUGUGCCGUUUUGUAUGUACCUCAUGAAUAAGGAUCGGCUAAUUCCGUGCCAGCAGCCGCGGUAAUACGGAGGGUCCGAGCGUUAUCCGGAUUUAUUGGGUUUAAAGGGAGCGUAGAUGGGUUGUUAAGUCAGUUGUGAAAGUUUGCGGCUCAACCGUAAAAUUGCAAUUGGUACUGGCAGUCUUGAGUACAGUUGAGGUAGGCGGAAUUCGUGGUGUAGCGGUGAAAUGCUUAGAUAUCACGAAGAAAUCCGAUUGCGAAGGCAGCUUACUAAACUGCCACUGACAUUGAUGCUCGAAGGUGUGGGUAUCGAACAGGAUUAGAUACCCGGGUAGUC